GACGAACGCUGGCGGCGUGCUUAACACAUGCCAGUCGAACGGAAAGGCCCUGCUUUUGUGGGGUGCUCGAGUGGCGAACGGGUGAGUAACACGUGAGUAACCUGCCCUUGACUUUGGGAUAACUUCAGGAAACUGGGGCUAAUACCGGAUAGGAGCUCCUGCUGCAUGGUGGGGGUUGGAAAGUUUCGGCGGUUGGGGAUGGACUCGCGGCUUAUCAGCUUGUUGGUGGGGUAGUGGCUUACCAAGGCUUUGACGGGUAGCCGGCCUGAGAGGGUGACCGGCCACAUUGGGUCUGAGAUACGGCCCAGACUCCUACGGGAGGCAGCAGUGGGGAAUAUUGCACAAUGGGCGGAAGCCUGAUGCAGCAACGCCGCGUGCGGGAUGACGGCCUUCGGGUUGUAAACCGCUUUCGCCUGUGACGAAGCGUGAGUGACGGUAAUGGGUAAAGAAGCACCGGCUAACUACGUG
rnacentral:rRNA from 1 species